rnacentral:rRNA from 1 species
CUUUCACACUGUCAAGAAAAGCUUCUAUCGAGUUUAAAGGCGCCCGUACCGUAAACCGACACAGGUGGGUGAGGAGAGUAUCCUAAGGCCAGCGAGAGAACUAUUGUUAAGGAACUCGGCAAAAUGACCCCGUAACUUAGGGAGAAGGGGUGCCUGUCUAUGACAGGCCGCAGAGAAUAGGCCCAAGCGACUGUUUACCAAAAACACAGGUUUCUGCUAAGUCGCAAGACGAUGUAUAGGAGCUGACGCCUGCCCGGUGCUGGAAGGUUAAGGGGAUCUGUUAGAGCAAUCGAAGCAGUGAACUUAAGCCCCAGUAAACGGCGGCCGUAACUAUAACGGUCCUAAGGUAGCGAAAUUCCUUGUCGGGUAAGUUCCGACCCGCACGAAAGGCGUAACGAUUUGGGCACUGUCUCAACAAUAGACUCGGUGAAAUUGUAAUCCCGGUGAAGAUGCCGGGUACCUGCGACAGGACGGAAAGACCCCAUGGAGCUUUACUGUAGCUUGACGUUGGGUCUUGGUACUACAUGUACAGGAUAGGUGGGAGACUAUGAAGCAUGGACGCCAGUCUGUGUGGAGUCAUCCUUGGAUACCACCCUUGUAGUACUGGGAUCCUAACCAUAGGCCUUGAAUCAGGUCUUGGAACACCGUCAGGUGGGCAGUUUGACUGGGGCGGUCGCCUCCUAAAAAGUAACGGAGGCGCUCAAAGGUUUCCUCAGCACGGUCGGAAAUCGUGCGAAGAGUGUAAAGGCAAAAGGAAGCUUGAUUGCAAGACAUACAGGUCGAGCAAGGACGAAAGUCGGACUUAGUGAUCCGGUGGUACCGCAUGGAAGGGCCAUCGCUCAACGGAUAAAAGCUACCCUGGGGAUAACAGGCUUAUCUCCCCCAAGAGUCCACAUCGACGGGGAGGUUUGGCACCUCGAUGUCGGCUCAUCACAUCCUGGGGCUGUAGUAGGUCCCAAGGGUUGGGCUGUUCGCCCAUUAAAGUGGUACGCGAGCUGGGUUCAGAACGUCGUGAGACAGUUCGGUCCCUAUCCAUCGCAGGCGUAGGAAAUUUGAGAAGACCUGUCCUUAGUACGAGAGGACCGGGAUGGACGUACCUCUGGUGUACCAGUUGUUCUGCCAAGGGCAUGGCUGGGUAGCUAUGUACGGAAUGGAUAAGCGCUGAAAGCAUCUAAGCGCGAAGCCAACUUCAAGAUAAGAUUUCCCACCGUAAGGGUAAGACCCCAGGAAGACUACCUGGUUGAUAGGUCGAAGGUGUAAGUGCAGUAAUGUAUUUAGCUUAUCGAUACUAAUAGGUCGAGGACUUGA